rnacentral:lncRNA from 1 species
AGGGCGGGCGUGGAGCCCCUGACAGUGGGCAUCGGGAUGUCCUGAGGUGGCUGGAGGACGGCAGCACACCCCUGACUCGGAGCCAACGACGUGUCACGAGGAAAGUUAGAAGACAGGGGAGGGGGCUAUGGGAAUCCGGCGGGGAAGGGCCCAGGGGGUUCUGUGCUCUUGGUGGAGGGGGCACGUUGCACGGGGCCGGAGGCGUGUCAGCAGGCAGGAUGGGCUGGGCGCACGGGAGAGGAUGCCGAGUGGAAAGGGUGCAGCGGAGGGAACGAGAGAGCCCCCACCGGGGGAACGGCCGGGGGCCUGGCCGCGCCUCCUGGGUGGUUUGGAAGUGAGCAUGGGGCGCGGCGCUCACCCACCUCUGAGCGAGAAGACCGGAGUGGCCCCAGGCGCUGCAGCUCGCCCACUGACUGGCUGGGAGGCUCACGAAGGCGGGAGCUGUCUGAGCGGGGCCCUGGGGUGCCCUGGAGCCCCGAGGAGGCCGGGGUGGGCCGGCCACCGGUGCCAGCAAGAAACCUCGCCCGGGGCAGGAGCACCGCGAAAGCCGCUCUGCUCCCACAGUGGACGCGCCCAUGCAGGGCACCGGACGCCUGCCCAAAGGAGGCGCGAGAAUUCAGGGAGCACCUCUGGGUCAUCUGCAUCUGACUCAACAGCCCUUUCCUUGAGAAGAGAGGAGCAGUUAAGCUGACUCAGGCUGUGGGGAGGGGCAGGCAGAGGCCACCCUGCUGCGCCCAUGGCUGCAGAAUCAUCAAGCGCCUGUGAACCAGCACACCUGUCACCCCUGCACACCUGUUGAACCAGCACAGCUGUUGAACUAGCAUGCCUGUCAUACACACGCACCUGUUGAACCAGCACGCAGGUCAAAUCCGCUCACCUGUCAUCCAUGCCUACCUGCUGAACCAGCACGCCUGUCACCCUCGCACUGCUGAGGCCACAGGCGCAAGGAGACGGGCUUACAAAACAGACUCGCGCAGCAGCUCUGGGUCCUGCCGGUGGGGCUCCCCACCAUCGAGAAGCAAGGGGCCCCAGGCCCUGCCUGGGCUUGUGCGGCAGGCUCCCUCCACAAUGGAAGGUUCUACUUCUGCACCAUCUGCAGGCACCCACUGGCCCCAUGUGGCUAUUGAGCUUUCAAAAUUGGCCAGUGUGACUGAGAAACUGAAGUUGUAAGUUUAUUUAAUUUUAAUUAACUUGAAUUUAGUAGCCUCACGUGACCAGGGGCUGCCGGGUCGGAUGUGAGGGUCGAGCUGGCCAGGCAAGAGCACGGCAUGAUGCUGGGAAGCGGUGGGGGC